rnacentral:sRNA from 1 species
ACUGGGCUUGGUGGCACACACCUGUAAUCCCAGCAACAGCUUAGGAGGCUGAGGCAGGAGGAUCACAAGUUCAAGGCCAGCCUCAGCAACUUAGGGAGGCCCUAAGCAACUUAGUGAGACCCUGUCUCAA